AUUGUUCAUUCCUCUAUCUGGUGUCUUGCCGUGAAGAACGCCAUGGGAUAGAAUAAAACAUUUUGGAUUUAUUUUGACAUAUUUUUUUUUUAAAUGAUGGACUUUUUAAAAUAUUCAUGUUGGGGUUCGCCCCGUCGAAUCCGCAAACGCCGCUGGCUUUACAUAGUCUAAGUACUCACUGGGUUUUAUAGUCCAGAGGCUAGUUGCAGCGGUCAAGCAAUUAGGCUCUUCGGCAACUUAUAAGUACUACUUCAAAGGAUUAACUGAGGAUUUGAACAAAACUACAAAUUAAUCGAGGGGCCCAAUCCGUUUUUGAGCUCUGCAUUACUCGGUCGAUUUGUUGUUGUCUUGUGUUAUCGAAUAGAAAUCCGUUUUUCCUUACUAUGUUAGAAAGAGUCAAAGAUCCGCCAACAAUGUUAGUUUUCGGAUUAUUCGAAGGGGACCGGGUGUCCCUGGACGUCCCCAUCGGGUCGACCGUUGGGGAGGUCAAAAAGAUGUUUCAGACUAAACUUAAUAUUUAUAUAGACGAAAUGAACCGCAAGGAUACAAAAGUGCUUGUGCUCCACUACAGUGGCUCCGACUUGGAGGAGAGUUGGUGCUUCACAGAUUUGGGAAUUCCUGCAGGGGCCACCAUAAAAGUGCUUCUUAAGGAGGAAAUCCUACCCGCUCUGUAUAUAUACACGACCUACAACCAAGAAACGAUCGACAUCGUGGACAAACACCUCAACGUGCUCUCUAUGGCCGUAGAGGACCUGCGCACGAUAGCAGGAAACAGAUCGGGUCUACCGGUGUCAAUUUUUCGCCUCGUUACAGAGGACGGAAGAGAAAUGUACGACGGUCACGUGCUCUAUGAUUAUGGAAUUGAUAGUGGCGCCACCAUUCGAUUAGAGAAUUGGGAUGGAUGGAACGAGUUUAUCAAUUUAUGCAUUAUGGGAUUUACCCCGCAAGUUUUGGCUCAAAUUUCUACCGAUGAAGUGAUCGGUCGAUUUCAACAGAAAGUCGCGCUGUUCAUCGCAGCACACUAUGGUUGUGCUGAUUUGGCUCGGGUGCUGAUCAAGCAGGGAGUUCGUGCUGAUGAGCCUAUUGGAGUACAUCCUCACAAGCUUUGGUGUACAAGCCAAGCCCACAUUGAGACCAAAAAGGCCCCGAUUCACGAAGCGACAGAGCAGGGUCAGCUAAACGUUCUCCGUUUGAUUGUCAACCACGACAUUACCUCUGUGAUGGCAAGAGAUGGCAAUGACUUGUGUGCACUCAACAUUGCACUGCGAAGAAGCAAGAAACCAUGCGCAUCUUUCCUCUUGACCAGACAGUGGACAAAGGUUCCGAUAGGAAAACUAGGAUCCGUUACCGUGCAGACUCUACGAACCAUACGUUUAUGGUGCGAAGGCGCAAAAGAUAGAGCUUACUCAAAAUUUGGUCCCGCGAAAUCGUCGCUGAAGAAAAUGAAGUUUUCCGGGGGUCCGCUUGUGAGUCAUGGGGAACCUGUUGUCGACGGUUUUACAAAGAGUCCCAUGACAGGAAAACCCCGAGCAGAUACAAAGGAUAAAGACAAAAAGAAAGCACUGGAAACGUUCUAUGAAGUAUACGGACUAAAGAAAGAGGACCCGGAAGUCUACUUCAGAAAUAUGGGAGCUUUGGAAAAUUUCAAGAGUCUUAAGCUCAGGAGGAAUACCAAAUGGGGGAACGUGUUUGAUAAAUCAGAAUUGACUGCUUCUUUUACUAAAGGAUUAAUGGGUCAUCCAGAACACAGUGAAAGCGAAUCAUCGGAAAAAGAAGUUAAGGCUGUACCACGUGUUCCGAAAUCUUCAGCACUGAAACAGGAAACGAUGACAACAGAAAACACAAUUGACUCAUCGGGAACCAUGGGGAAAUUCUUAAGGGGAGGAACUCAGACCACAAACCAAGACUCUGUCAAUGACAAUGUGGUACCUCUUCCAUCUUUGAAAACAACAAAUACAGCGAAAUCUGGAAGCGCUCCAGAUGAAGAUAUCAAGGCUUCCAACUGAAGACCGUUUGAAACAGGUGACAAAAUUACCACCAAUAGUUAUAUCCCGCAAUAGGAAGGUGAGCGAAAACGCCGCGGACGACUCCGAUAAAGAAUCGUCUAGUGACCACAAAGAAAGAACAAAAGACUCAAAACAGAGGUUUUUCCAAACCCCUAAAAUGCACACGUCUUUACCGAAUUUAAAUUCCCUGGAGAAAACGAAAACAUCGAUGGAUGAGUCUCCUCCCUCGCCAACAGAAACGAAUAAAACUUUUAAAAGCGACAAGAAGAACCGGAAGCGCAGGCGCAUCACAUCCGCUGCACUGAUCUCGCAAGCCAAGGCAGCCGAGGGGGCGGUGCCUCUACCCAUGAUAAGUCAUGAGAACCAGACGAGGCCUUUCUUCUACCACAACGGAAGACGGGAGGAGGAUGUAGUUAACCCAGUUAUGGACCUGGUCACCAAACAUCAGGGGUCCACAUCUAGAGACCGGGCUAUCAAAUCACUGACUAUCGCCAACAGCUUUAAAGAAAAGCCCUGGUUAACCCAGGUACGAAUGGCUCUGUCCCUCACUUCCCAGUCAAUCAAGCGACCACUGAAAGGAACGAAUCUUCGAAGAAAGAUUAUUAAGCAAGCACAGUUUGAUUAAUGUGUGAUGAAAGCAACAUCUUAGGAAUCAAAUUAACAAUGAAUAUUCUUUUACGGACUUUUUGUUAUCAUUUUUAUUUUUAUGUGUUGUCGAUUUUACUUGAAUGCAUUUAAUUUCAUAUUUAACAAAUUACAAUGUCGCAUCGUAUUGUAUCUGAAGGUAUGAAUUGUGAUUAAUCAUUUGUGCCAAAAACUAACGACUCAUUAAAAUGUCUGUGUAUAUUUUAAUU
rnacentral:misc_RNA from 1 species